rnacentral:rRNA from 1 species
GAUGAACGCUGGCGGCGUGCUUAACACAUGCCAGUCGAACGGUGAAGGCGGAGCUUGCUCUGCUGGAUCAGUGGCGAACGGGUGAGUAACACGUGAGCAAUCUGCCCCUGACUCUGGGAUAAGCGCUGGAAACGGCGUCUAAUACUGGAUACGAGCUGCGAAGGCAUCUUCAGCAGCUGGAAAGAACUUCGGUCAGGGAUGAGCUCGCGGCCUAUCAGCUUGUUGGUGAGGUAACGGCUCACCAAGGCGUCGACGGGUAGCCGGCCUGAGAGGGUGACCGGCCACACUGGGACUGAGACACGGCCCAGACUCCUACGGGAGGCAGCAGUGGUGAAUAUUGCACAAUGGGCGAAAGCCUGAUGCAGCAACGCCGCGUGAGGGACGACGGCCUUCGGGUUGUAAACCUCUUUUAGCAGGGAAGAAGCGAAAGUGACGGUACCUGCAGAAAAAGCGCCGGCUAACUACGUG